rnacentral:rRNA from 1 species
GAAAGCUUUCUUUAAUUGAAUAAUUGAAUUUAAUUUUUUAGUGCAAAAGCAAAAAUAAAAAUUAGGGACAAGAAGACCCUAUGAAUUUUUUAUUAAAUUUUAUAAAACUUUAUAUAAAAUUUAAUUUAAUUGGGGUGAUGGAAAAAGAAUAAAUAUCUUUUUUUUUAAAAAAAAAUUGGUUCCGUUUUUAGCGAUUAAAUGAAAAAAAUACUCUAGGGAUAACAGCGUAAUAAUUUUGGAUAGUUCAUAUANAUAAAAUAGUUUGCGACCUCGAUGUUGGAUUAGGAUUCUUUUUUGGNGAANAAGUUAAAAAAA